UUCAGAGCGAAGAGAAGCGAGAGAAGAUGGAGUGGAAGCCACAAGAAGGCUCCCGCAGCUUCAAGUCCCAAUUGUACUCGUCGCCAGCGCAUUUAACCACGGGCUCCUGCUCUGAGACCAAGAAACUUGCUCUUCUCGGGGACACGAGACGAAAAGAAGCGGAGUGGCUAAAUCUUGGCUGCAUCUCUCUUUCUGUCGUGUUUCUUUUGCACCUUUGCAAGAAUCGGCACAAAAGGUCAGAGAUGAAGGAAUAAACGAUCGUGCUCGGCGGUUGACAAAUAAAAGGAAUGACGAAGCACACAGAAGCGCAAACACCAAAAAGGAGGGAGCAACGCUUCAAGAGUGCAGUGGAGCCUCCGUGCAAUGAAGCCCCGCAUCUCUAGACGCUCCUCACACCCACCAGUCAUCAAUACUAGGCACCUUCGGCGAAGCUCUGGAAGGACACUCUUAGAAAAAAAAAGAAA